GUGAGGAAUAUUGCGCAAUGGAGGCAACUCUGACGCAGCCAUGCCGCGUGCAGGAAGAAGGCGCUACGCGUUGUAAACUGCUUUUAACCGGGAAGAAACCCCAGGACGUGUCCUGGGUUGACGGUACCGGAGGAAUAAGCACCGGCUAACUUCGUGCCAGCAGCCGCGGUAAUACGAAGGGUGCAAGCGUUAUCCGGAUUCAUUGGGUUUAAAGGUUGCGUAGGCGGAGCGUUAAGUCAGUGGUGAAAUCCUGCAGCUUAACUGUAGACUUGCCAUUGAUACGAGCGCUCUUGAGUGCGCUUGAAGUGGGCGGAAUGUGCCGUGUAGCGGUGAAAUGCUGAGAUAUGGCACAGAACACCAAUUGCGAAGGCAGCUCACUAAGGCGAUACUGACGCUGAGGCACGAAAGCGUGGGGAUCGAACAGGAUUAGAUACCCUUGUAGUCC
rnacentral:rRNA from 1 species